UGAUGGCAGCGUGGUAAGCCGACCGGGCGAAAAGCGCCCCGGCCGGCGUGCGAGGCCUCCGCUUCUGCGCGGGACCGACUUACUGCGAUGGGCGUCGCAGUUCAGAGUCUUGGAGACAGACGCGAGCGUGUCUGUUAGAGUGACAGCGCUGUUUUCAUUUCUGUUAGACAUUUACAGCACAUUUCCCAUUGAGAACUGCUUAUGCUGCGUCCUUAAGUUCUGAGAGACAGAGACAUAGCAUGAGCGGAGGAGGGGCAGAGAGAGGGGGAGACCCAGGAUCCGAAGCAGGCUCCAAGCUGUCAGCACAGAGCCCAACGCAGGGCUUGAACUCACGGACCGCGAGAUCAUGGCCUGAGCCAAAGGUGCAUGCUCAACCGAUUGAGCCACCUGGGUGCCCCUUAAUUUUUAUUGUAGUAAAAUAUAAGUAACAUGACAUAAAAGUUAACAUUUGAACCAUU